GAGGGCAUCAGAGGGGUUUGGAAUUCCCGGAGUAGCGGUAAAAUGCGCAGAUAUCGGGAGGUACACCGGUGGCGAAAGCGGCACCCUGGGGUGCACCUGACGCUGAGAGACGACAGCUAGGGGAGCGAACAGGAUUAGAGACCCUGGUAGUCCUAGCCGUAAACGAUGGAUGCUAGGUGUGGGAGUGAAGAACUUCUGUGCCGCAGCGAACGCGAUAAGCAUCCCGCCUGGGGAGUACGGCCGCAAGGUUAAAACUCAAACGAAUUGACGGGGACCCGCACAAGCAGCGGAGCGUGUGGUUUAAUUCGAUGCUACACGAAGAACCUUACCUGGGAUUGACAUAUGGGUGGUAGUGAGCCGAAAGGCAAGCGACCCUUCGGGGAGCCUAUACAGGUGCUGCAUGGCUGUCGUCAGCUCGUGCCGUGAGGUGUCGGGUUAAGUCCCGUAACGAGCGCAACCCCUGUCCUUAGUUACAAGUGUCUAAGGGGACUGCCGGCGGGAAGCCGGAGGAAGGUGGGGAUGACGUCAAGUCAGCAUGGCCCUUAUAUCCAGGGCGACACACACGCUACAAUGGUCGGUACAGAGGGCAGCGAAGCCGCGAGGUGGAGCGAAACCCAGAAAGCCGGUCGUAGUUCGGAUUGCAGGCUGCAACUCGCCUGCAUGAAGUUGGAGUUGCUAGUAACCGCAGGUCAGCCAUACUGCGGUGAUACGUUCCCGGGUCUUGUACACACCGCCCGUCACGUCAUGGGAGUCGGUAACGCCUGAAGGCGACAGUCUGACCGGAAGGAAGACGCUGUCGAGGGUGGGGCUAACAACCUGGGACGAAGUCGUAACAAG
rnacentral:rRNA from 1 species